AUACGUAGGGUGCAAGCGUUAAUCGGAAUUACUGGGCGUAAAGCGUGCGCAGGCGGUUUUGUAAGACAGUGGUGAAAUCCCCGGGCUCAACCUGGGGAGUGUCAUUGUGACUGCAAGGGUGGGGAGCGGGCGAGGGGGAUGGAAUUUCGUGCGUAGCAGUGUAAUGCGUAGCAAUGGGGAGGAACACCGAUGGCGAAGGCAAUCCCCUGGGCCUGCACUGACGCUCAUGCACGAAAGCGUGGGGAGCAAACAGGAUUAGAUACCCUGGUAGUCCACGCCCUAAACGAUGUCAACUGGUUGUUGGGGAUUUAUUUUCUCAGUAACGAAGCUAACGCGUGAAGUUGACCGCCUGGGGAGUACAGCCGCAAGGUUAAAACUCAAAUGAAUUGACGGGG
rnacentral:rRNA from 1 species